rnacentral:rRNA from 1 species
GACGGAGGAUGCAAGUGUUAUCCGGAAUCACUGGGCGUAAAGCGUCUGUAGGUGGUCAAAUAAGUCAACUGUUAAAUCUUGAGGCUCAACUUCAAAGUCGCAGUCGAAACUAUUAGACUAGAGUAUAGUAGGGGUAAAGGGAAUUUCCAGUGGAGCGGUGAAAUGCGUAGAGAUUGGAAAGAACACCGAUGGCGAAGGCACUUUACUGGGCUAUUACUAACACUCAGAGACGAAAGCUAGGGUAGCAAAUGGG